AGGACGAACGCUGGCGGCGUGCUUAACACAUGCAAGUCGAACGAGGUCCAACCAGUGGCAACACUGGGAAAGGCCGAGUGGCGAACGGGUGCGUAACACGUGAGGAACCUGCCCCGGUCUCUGGAAUAACAGCGGGAAACCGCUGCUAAUACCGGAUAUCUCCUCGGAACCGCAUGGCUCUGAGAAGAAAGGGUUACCGGAUCGGGAGGGUCUCGCGGCCUAUCAGCUUGUUGGUGGGGUAAUGGCCUACCAAGGCUCCGACGGGUAGCUGGUCUGAGAGGACGAUCAGCCACACUGGGACUGAGACACGGCCCAGACUCCUACGGGAGGCAGCAGUGGGGAAUCUUGCGCAAUGGGCGAAAGCCUGACGCAGCAACGCCGCGUGCGGGAUGAAGGCCCUCGGGUUGUAAACCGCUUUCAGCAGGACGAAAUGACGGUACCUGCAGAAGAAGGUCCGGCCAACUACGUGCCAGCAGCCGC
rnacentral:rRNA from 1 species